UACAGAGGUCCCAAGCGUUGUUCGGAUUCACUGGGCGUAAAGCGUGCGUAGGCGGUUCGUUAAGUCUGUUGUGAAAGCCCUGGGCUCAACCUGGGAACUGCAGUGGAUACUGGCGAGCUAGAGUACGGUAGAGGAAGGUGGAAUUCCCGGUGUAGCGGUGAAAUGCGUAGAGAUCGGGAGGAACACCAGUGGCGAAGGCGGCCUUCUGGACCAGUACUGACGCUGAGGCACGAAAGCGUGGGGAGCAAACAGG
rnacentral:rRNA from 1 species